GAUGAACGCUGGCGGCGUGCCUAAUACAUGCAGGUCGAGCGAACAGACGAGGAGCUUACUCCUCUGACGUUAGCGGCGGACGGGUGAGUAACACGUGGAUAACCUACCUAUAAGACUGGGAUAACUUCGGGAAACCGGAGCUAAUACCGGAUAACAUGUUGAACCGCAUGGUUCAACAGUGAAAGACGGUCUUGCUGUCACUUAUAGAUGGAUCCGCGUCGCAUUAGCUAGUUGGUAAGGUAACGGCUUACCAAGGCAACGAUGCGUAGCCGACCUGAGAGGGUGAUCGGCCACACUGGAACUGAGACACGGUCCAGACUCCUACGGGAGGCAGCAGUAGGGAAUCUUCCGCAAUGGGCGAAAGCCUGACGGAGCAACGCCGCGUGAGUGAAGAAGGUCUUCGGAUCGUAAAACUCUGUUAUUAGGGAAGAACAAAUGUGUAAGUAACUAUGCACGUCUUGACGGUACCUAAUCAGAAAGCCACGGCUAACUACGUG
rnacentral:rRNA from 1 species